rnacentral:rRNA from 1 species
AUUGAACGCUGGCGGCAGGCCUAACACAUGCAAGUCGAGCGGAUGAAGGGAGCUUGCUCCUGGAUUCAGCGGCGGACGGGUGAGUAAUGCCUAGGAAUCUGCCUGGUAGUGGGGGAUAACGUCCGGAAACGGGCGCUAAUACCGCAUACGUCCUGCGGGAGAAAGUGGGGGAUCUUCGGACCUCACGCUAUCAGAUGAGCCUAGGUCGGAUUAGCUAGUUGGUGGGGUAAAGGCCUACCAAGGCGACGAUCCGUAACUGGUCUGAGAGGAUGAUCAGUCACACUGGAACGGGGACACGGUCCAGACUACUAAGGGAGGCAGCAGUGGGGAAUAUUGGACAAUGGGCGAAAGCCUGAUCCAGCCAUGCCGCGUGUGUGAAGAAGGUCUUCGGAGUGUAAAGCACUUUAAGUUGGGAGGAAGGGCAGUAAGUUAAUACCUUGCUGUUUUGACGUUACCAACAGAAUAAGCACCGGCUAACUUCGUG